rnacentral:snRNA from 1 species
AAACAUGAACCCUGGCAGGGGAGAUACCAUGAUCACGAAGGUGGUUUUCCCAGGGCGAGGCUUAUCCAUUGCACUCCGGAUGUGCUGACCCCUGCGAUUUCCCCAAAUGUGGGAAACUCGACUGCAUAAUUUGUGGUAGUGGGGGACUGCGUUCGCGCUUUCCCCUG